AAUUACACCUUGUAAAAUAUGGCUGAUGAGGUGCAGCUGAAUAUUCAGGAAAGGCAGGUUGAGGUUUAAUGGACUCCAAACAUACAUAUAGGAUGAGAGAGAAAGAUAACAAAAAUUUGGGAGACACUUGGGGCUAGAAAAAAUGCAAGCAGUCCUUACGAUAAUUGAGUCAGAACGUUUACUGAAUAACUGAGGAGUUACUGAGCAGUGAUAGACAGUAUGGUAAAUCAUUUGAAUAAACUUACCCAAACCCAAGGGAGCCACAUAUUCAUAUUACUGUAGUUAUUUGGAUGCUAAAAUGUCCUAACCUAUGCAUAUUAGAAUUUCUCUCACUACUGUCUUCCUACUGUAAAAAAGUAAUAAUAAUAAUUCCCCUUUCUGCAGGAAGGAAAGCUAAGAUUUCUGCAGGAAGGAAAGCUAAGAUACUCUCUUUUGCCCAAACCUGCCUGAUGAAUCUGUAUAAGGAAAUUCUAAAAGGAAACCCAUCAAAUGAACCAGUGUUCAGGUUUAUAAAAAGCAAAUAGAGACCAUCACAGAAAACAAAGCUGGAGACAAGAGCAAAGGCAGACACAAUGCAGAGAUAACCCGGUCUUGUGGAGUCUAGCCCCAGUGGAUAUAUCUGCAGUGCAGCUGUUCAGCCACCCAAAGCCAGCCAAAUCCAAACCAGCCGGGUCCAGCCCAGUCAGUACACCAGAAGAGAUGGAUGAAUAAACAAGG